UGGGGAAUAUUGGACAAUGGGCGAAAGCCUGAUCCAGCCAUGCCGCGUGUGUGAAGAAGGUCUUCGGAUUGUAAAGCACUUUAAGUUGGGAGGAAGGGCAGUAAGCGAAUACCUUGCUGUUUUGACGUUACCGACAGAAUAAGCACCGGCUAACUCUGUGCCAGCAUCCGCGGUAAUACAGAGGGUGCGAGCGUUAAUCGGAUUUACUGGGCGUAAAGCGUGCGUAGGCGGCUAAUUUAGUCGGAUGUGAAAUCCCCGAGCUUAACUUGGGAAUUGCAUUCGAUACUGGGUAGCUAGAGUGUGGGGGAGGAUGGUAGAAUAUCAGGUGUGGCGAUGAAAUGCGUAGAGAUCUGGGGGAAUACCGAUGGCGAAGGCAGCAAUCUGGCCUAACACUGACGCUGAGGUACGAAAGAAUGGGGAGCAAACAGG
rnacentral:rRNA from 1 species